AAAAAAAAAAAAAGGUUUUCAGAAAUAUCCAACUUUUACAGUUUCUUAAAGAAUUUUCAAGAUAUACAAACUUGGCAUAAGUUUUCAAUAAAAGACUACAACUUUGUUUUCUAAUUAUAUGUUGAAAUUGACAACUGUACCCUGUCUACUUGCAACUAAACCAUGCUUUUAUAUUCUGAGAAAAAUCUAUUAACCUAUUUUGUCUCUUCUUAGAAACAAGAUGAAUCCAAGCCAAAAUGAUGAACCAGUUGAUGAACAAAUUCCCGAUGUUCCACCUGGAUUUCAACCCCAAACAAAUCCUGUUCAAAUGCUUGUUAAUCUUCUUCAACAAGGUUUUCAAGCCAACCCUGGGUCAAGUUCUUCAAGUCAAAAUUUCAAACCUUCUAUUGCAUUCAAAUCUUUCAAAGCCCUACAACCCCCAGAAUUCAAAGGAACAGUAAAUCCGGUCGAAGCCAAGAUAUGGCUGACGGAGAUUGAGAAAACUUUUGAGAUAGUUGGAGUAGAGGAAAAUAAGAAAACUAUAUUUGCUGCUUUCAUGCUUAAAGGUGAAGCCAAUUAUUGGUGGGAAGCUAAGAAGAAGUUAGAAGGAUCUAACGUGAUACCAUGGGCUAGGUUUACAGAGCUAUUCCUAGAAAAAUACUUCCCUAAGCACUUAGAAAAUCAGAUGGAGAUUAAGUUUCUCGAGCUUAAGCAAGGUAAUAUGUCUGUGGCUGAAUACGAAGCCAAAUUCACUGAACUUUCAAGGUUUGCGCCGUAUCAAGUUGAUACAGAUGAGAAGAAAGCAAGACGUUUCCAGCAAGGUUUGAAGCCUUGGAUUCAAAGCAGAGUUGCUGUUUUCGAAAUUACAAGUUAUGCAACCUUAGUACACAAAGCGUGUAUUGUUGAAACAAGUGGAGAAUUGGCUGCCAAGGAAAGGAAUGAAAAGAAGAGAAAAGCCCCACACACUUACCCAAAGUUUGAGAAGAAACCUUGGAACUUCAAUAAUAAGAAACCUUUUGUGAAAAAGGAGACACCACCAGUGGAAAAUAAUCAGAAGCCUAGAUCUUCGCAAACUGCAAAUGUGCUACAAGGAAGAACCACAUUUCCUGAGUGUAAAACUUGUGGAAAGAAACACCCACCCCCAUGCCAUCAGGAAUCUAAAACCUGCUAUAGUUGUGGGAAGAAAGGUCACUACGCGUCAAGCUGCAAGGAGAAGGCGAUCAUAUGUUUCAGUUGUGGAAAGAAAGGGCAUAUGGCAAGGGAUUGUCCACAAUCCCAGAAGGAAGGUUCUACACCAAAGAUUAAUACACCACUUGAGGGCAAGAUCACUAAGCCUACUGCUCGGACUUUCAAUAUGACUCUGAAUGAAGCCAUGGUUGAUAACAACGUCAUAUCGGGUACACUUUCUGUAAACUCUUUGAAUGCCUGUGUGUUAAUUGAUUCUGGAGCAAGUAGAUCUUUUAUGUCUAUUCAGUUCAUGCAUAAGUUGGGAUUGGAACCAAUACCUUUAGAAGAAACGAUGAGCAUAGAAAUAGCUAAUCAAGAAGUAAUCACCGUAGAUAAAAUCUGCCCAAAUUGUGAGAUAGCUAUUGAGAAACAAAACUUUGCUAUAGAUCUUAUCCCUAUAAAACUUGGAGAGUUUGAAGUAAUUCUUGGGAUGGAUUGGUUGACUAAGUAUGAUGCGCAGAUAAAUUGUAGAAAGAAAAGAGUAAGUUUGAAAGGAAAUGAUGGAAAAAGGAUAAUAAUGAGAGGGCAAAAGCAAGUUAAGAAGUUUUUGACAGUAAUGCAAGCGAAAAGAUUACUACGACAAGGAUGUCAGGCAUAUCUAGCUCAUGUAGUAAAUGUAGAAAAGCCAAGUCCUAAAAUAGAAGAAAUUCCCGUCGUUAAGGAAUAUAAAGAUGUCUUCCCUGAGGAAUUAUCUGGAUUACCACCUGAUAGGCAAAUAGAAUUCACAAUUGAUCUUGUACCUGGUACAGCACCUAUAUCUAAAGCACCUUAUAGAAUGGCACCUGCAGAAAUGAAAGAAUUAGCCACGCAGAUACAGGAUUUACUAGAUAAAGGAGUAAUUCGACCAAGUGUGUCUCCAUGGGGAGCUCCGGUACUAUUUGUUAAAAAGAAAGAUGGAACUAUGAGAUUAUGUAUAGAUUAUCGAGAGAUAAACAAGAUGACCAUUAAGAAUAGAUAUCCUUUACCUAGAAUUGAUGAUCUGUUCGAUCAAUUGAAGGGAGCGUCCUACUUUUCAAAGAUAGAUUUGAGAUCUGGAUAUCAUCAAUUAAAAGUUAAACCUGAAGAUGUACCUAAGACAGCUUUUAGGACCAGAUACGGACAUUAUGAGUUUUUAGUGAUGCCAUUUGGAUUAACCAAUGCACCUGCAGCCUUUAUGGAUCUUAUGAAUAGAGUGUUCAAGAAAUAUCUGGAUAAGUUUGUUAUCGUUUUCAUUGAUGAUAUUUUAAUAUAUUCUAAGACUAGAGAAGAGCAUGAGGAACAUCUUAGGAUAACUUUAGAGACCCUAAGGAAAGAAAAGUUGUAUGCAAAGUUUUCAAAAUGUGAGUUUUGGAUGGAACAAGUACAGUUUUUAGGUCACAUAGUUUCUAGAGAAGGAAUCUCCGUAGACCCAGCAAAAGUGGAGGCAGUAUCGAAUUGGGAAAGGCCUAGAACCCCUACAGAAGUAAGAAGUUUUCUUGGGUUAGCUGGAUAUUAUAGGAGAUUUGUAAAGGAUUUCUCUAAGAUUGCAACCCCUUUGACUAAGUUAACCAGAAAAGAAGAAAAGUUUGAAUGGACUCCUAAGUGUGAAGAAAGUUUUCAGGAAUUGAAGAAAAGACUCACGAUGGCUCCAGUACUAACUUUACCAGAUGAAACUGGAAAUUUUGUGAUUUUCAGCGAUGCGUCUCAUAAAGGUUUAGGAUGCGUUUUGAUGCAGCAUGGAAAAGUGAUAGCAUACGCGUCUAGGCAACUUAAAGAAUAUGAAUUGAGAUAUCCUACCCAUGAUUUAGAACUAGCUGCUAUAGUUUUUGCCUUAAAGAUCUGGCGACAUUAUCUUUAUGGUGAGAAGUGUGAGAUAUACACUGAUCAUAAGAGUUUGAAGUAUUUGUUUACUCAGAAGGAACUGAAUAUGAGACAAAGAAGAUGGCUAGAGUUGAUCAAAGAUUAUGAUUGUACAAUUAACUAUCAUUCAGGAAAAGCCAACGUAGUUGCUGAUGCUUUAAGUAGAAAAGAAAGAAUCAAUGUGAUGUCGUUACCAAAAGAAUUGAUUAGAGAGCUGGAAAAGUUAAAUUUAGAGGUUAAGGGUUCAGACCCUAGAGAUGGGAAGAUAUUUGAGAUGAUAAUACAACCAGAUUUGUUAGAAAGAAUCAAAAAGAGUCAAGAAUUUAUGAUUGAGGAAAAGCGUCCUGAGUUGUCAGGAGAUUAGUAUUUAAGUGUAAAGGAUGAUAAAGGAAUUAGGAGAUUUGCAAACAGGAUUUGGAUUCCUAACAUGACAGAUCUUAAAAGAGAUAUUUUAAGUGAAGCACAUGAAUCAAGAUAUUCUAUUCACCCGGGAAGCACCAAGAUGUAUCAGGAUUUAAAGAAGAAUUAUUGGUGGCCCAACAUGAAAAGAGAAAUUGCUGAGUGGGUAAGUAAAUGUCUGACUUGUCAAAAAGUGAAAGCAGAGCACCAGAGACCUAGUGGAUUAUUGCAACCAUUAGAGAUCCCGGAAUGGAAAUGGGAACACAUCACCAUGGAUUUUAUUGUUGGAUUACCAAAGACUCGAGCCAAUCAUGAUGCUAUUUGGGUAAUUGUAGAUAGGCUGACGAAAUCUGCACAUUUCCUUCCUAUUAGUGAAAAGUACACAAUGGAAAGAUUAGUGAAGUUAUAUAUGAAUGAGGUAGUGACUAGACAUGGAGUGCCAGUGUCAAUUGUUUCAGACAGAGAUGCAAGAUUUACUUCAAGAUUCUGGCAAGCUUUUCAAGAGUGUUUUGGGACUAAGCUUAAUUUGAGUACCGCAUAUCAUCCACAAACGGAUGGACAAAGUGAGAAAACAAUACAAACCAUAGAGGAUAUGUUCCGCAUAUCAUCCACAAACGGAUGGACAAAGUGAGAGAACAAUACAAACCAUAGAGGAUAUGUUAAGAGCUUGUUCAUUGGAUUUCAAAGGAAGUUGGGAUGAUCACUUACCAUUAGUGGAAUUUGCUUACAACAAUAGCUAUCAUUCGAGUAUAGGAAUGGCUCCUUAUGAAGCGUUAUAUGGUAGAAAAUGUAGAUCGCCUCUUGUUUGGGAUGAAGUUGGCGAGAAAAAGAUAUUAGGACUCGAAUUAGUCCAACAAACCACCCAGUCAAUUGAGAAGAUACGUAAAAGAUUAGUUGCAGCUCAAGACAGACAAAAGAAAUAUGCGGAUUUAGGAAGAAAAGAGAAAACAUUUGAGAUCGGAGAGAAAGUACUCUUAAAAGUAUCGCCUUGGAAAGGAAUAAUCAGAUUUGGAAAAAGAAGCAAAUUAAAUCCAAGAUUUAUUGGACCAUUUGAGAUUUUGAGAAAAGUUGGAGCUGUGUCUUACCAACUAGCUUUACCUCCAGAUCUACAACAUAUUCAUGAUGUAUUUCACAUAUCUCUUUUGAAAGCUUAUAAGUCCGAUGAUCGACAUGUUCUAAAUUAUGAGCCAGUAAACCUUCAGUCAGAUUUAACAUAUGAAGAAAAGCCAGUAGAGAUUGUGGACUCAAAAUAUCAAGAAUUGAGAAAUAAGAAAGUAAAACUAGUUAAAGUAAUUUGGCGAAAUCAAGCUGUAGAAGAAGCCACGUGGGAACUGGAAGAAGCGAUGAAAGAGAAGUAUCCAGAGUUGUUUCAAUAUCAAAUCUGAUUCCGAGGUCGGAAUCCUUUAAAGGAGGGAAGAAUGUAACAACCGCAAAAUUUCAAGUACGUAAAUAAAUUAGUUAUUUAAUUUUAUGCGGUUAAAGUUAUUAUUUAAAUAAGUGUGAAAAUUAUUAUUUAAAUAAAAAAAUAUUGGUCCGUAAAGCAUUUCAGGCUAGUACAAGGUAUUUUUAUAUUGGCUAGCUAAUUAAAUCUAUAUUUGUACCUUUAAGAUUUAAAUAUUGGCUAGAUGUAUAGUUUUAUGUUGACCCGGAAAUUAUAAAUAUUGCGGGUUAGGUAAAAUAAAUAUUUCUUUAUAAUGUUAAAAUAAUUAUUGAAGUGAUUAUUCUAGUAUUUUAUAACCACGGAUAAUAUUUGGAGUAUUAAAAUAGGAAUAGUUAAAUGAGUCGGGACUGAAAUAUUGGUAAAUAAACAAAACGGGAGUAAUUAAAACGAGAUGUAACUGCGAUGCGAGGUAAUAAUAAUUAUUAAAUAAAAUAAAAUAAAAAUAGGAAAAUAUAAGCAAACCUCGAAAGUUGUGCACACCUUGGUGCCCAAGAAUUUUGUGUGCUGCCCAAGUAAAAAAGAAUAAACAAAUAAUAGAUUAGAAGGUCAUUAAGUGUUAAUGACGAUUAGGAAUGCCUAUAAAAAGCCAAAGGAUUUGCCAUUUUAUCACUCCCAUUUCCUUAUAUAAAAAAGAGGGGAAAGUAUAUUGAGCAGAAGUAUAAACCAGGAGGUUAACUUGGAAAGGAUCAGUUUCAGCACAAUCUUAAUAUAAAAAGGUAUUACUUCACAAGCCAUCAUCUUUCAUAAAUAGAAAGUUGAUUGUACAUGGCUUUUAAUGGUAAUAUUUAAACUCGGACCCCUUUCCCUUAUUAUAUUGGUACUAUUGAUUUACUAUUGAUUAAAAGCAAUCUAAAUAAACCAAACUAGUGUAUUUCUUGUAUUAGAGAGAGUUGUGCCCAGAAACUUUAUCAAACUAGGAUAGAGUUCUUGAAUGGAGUUUGGGGUUUUGUUGAUUAUUGUUGGGUAAUUGAAUUGAAGGAGGGUUGGGAUAUAGUUGGUUUAGUGGGUGGAGACUCGGAGCAGUAAAGGAGGCGGAGCGCGGCCGUGGCUUGCGCCGGCAAGGCUGACGGAGGCGGAGGGCGAGCUUCAUCGGAGGGAGGAGGCGACGUCGUUGUUAACGGCGUCGAAGGACGGUGACUCGCCCGAACUCGGUGGAGUCUGGAUGGAGAGAGAGAGAGAGAGAGAGAGGUCGCCGCCCGGACUUUUCCGGCGGAAGAGGCGGUGAUGGGGGAGAAGAGAGAAAGUGAUGGGUGGAGAAGAUGGGUGUGAGGGCAAUAUAGUAAUCUCACCAGCUGGGUAGUAUUUUAAAUAAUGAUUAAAAUAGAAUUAAUGAGUAAUAAAGAGAAAAUGAAAUAAAGAAUUAAAGGAUGGUAAUUUUUAAUGUCAACAAAAACAGAAAAUUUUGAUUUGAGUAUUAGGUAGUCAUAAGCUUACAGUAGUAGGUUGAUUUGGAAAUUUAGACGUAAUUUAGGUAAUAAUUUCGGGAGAGAAUUUAAUUGAAUCAGUAGGGUAGUAAGUUCUAAUAGGAAUUUCAUGAUUUACUUAAUCAUUUAAUUAAGGAAUUUGGGAUUUAAAAAGGUAACUAGUUAAAAGAUUAUUUGAAUCUAAGUGAGAGAUUGUUAUAAAGUCCGAAAAGGAAAUUUGAUUUAAUUUAAAUUUAAAUAAAGGAAUAAUCUAGAAAGAGAUGGAUUUAUAAGAUAGUUAAAUAAUUGGAAUUUUAGAAUAAGUAAGUUGCUAACGAACAAUAAAAUAUUAAGAAAUAUAAUUUAGUCAGCUUAAUAAUAAAGAUACUAUUCAUUAUAAGUGGAUAAUUGAGUAAUACAUGAGAAGGAUCUUUUGUUAAUUAAUGGACAUGUGGGAAUAUGUUAAGAGAACUAUUAAAUAUAGGAUGUAGUAAUUAGAUGGUUAAUUAAUUAAAUUAAAAGAACUAAAGCAUUAUUUUGACUUGAGGUGUAGUUGUUAUGUAUUCAUAUAAUUAUUUUUGAAAUCUUUUUCCGUCAAUGAAAUUACUAAGUGUUAUUAUUUUAUAUGUGGUUAAGAAUAUAAAGGGGCGGAGCAUAAAUAUAAGUAUUAAUUCCGAGGAAAGAUAUUGUCAAGCUAAGGACCCGAGGCAAGUUCACUAUCCUUAUCUCUAUUUAAGUUGUUUAAUUACCAUAAUUAUUUGAUCAAAUAAUAUUUUAAAUACCUCGAUUAUGUCCUUCGCUCCAAUAUAAGUUAUAAAUCAUUAAAGUGAACUCCUAAAAUUGAUUACGUAAUUCAACCUUCCUUUUGUCCGGGAACUGUUAAAGAAUUAUUUCUGAUAGAAGGUGUAUUGUUCACAUCUUCUGACCAAUACUGAUUUAUUGAUUGAUUAAGGAUUUGUUUCUGAUAGAAGAUGUAUUGUUCACAUCUUCUGGCUAAUAAUGAUUGAUUGAUAAAUCAGAAGAGUUUGUUCGGAGAGUGUUCUUUCUACUCGGAGAAUUCUUGUUCGGCUGGUCAACACGAAUUUAUUAAAUUCGUGGUAGAGAUGAAAGUUCCUAUCUGGUAAGGCAGAUAGUAGGGUUCCAGUGUUAAACCCUGAUGCUAGCAAAGAGAGUGUUGGUGUGUCUUUAGUGGUGACGAUCAGACCACUAGGACUACACAGGAGAACGAUAUUCACGAAAUGGUAUUUGAUCGGACCAUGUAGUGGUAUCGAGAGGUUGGAAGACCAGCAAUUCUUUGAUUUAAAACUUGUUCUGGUAUUUGAUGAUUUGUUGAUUUAAACUAUUUUCUGUGCCCUAAAUGCAUAAAUUGUUAAAUGCUAUCUACAAUUAUGUGAGCUUGCUGAGCAUGUAAGUGCUCAUUCUUGCAUCUAUGUUUUAUCAACUAGCAGUAAAAAGCGAGUAUGGCACGAAUCAAGUUAACCGCUCGGAAGCGGGUGCGAGCUCGGAUAAGGGAAAGACACAUCACUCCAGCUGAAGCUGCCAGACAACGAAGAAUAGUAGGAACUCGAGCUGUAGUUGUUCUCUUUUGGUUUCAACCCUUUUCAUAUGUAAUCAUAUUAGUAGUUUGGAUGUAAUAUAGACGAUCGACCCUGGACUUGUGGGGCGAGAGUCGGAUAUUGUAUAAUAUUAAUAUCUAUGCAAGUGUUGUUUUGAUGUCAAAUGCUAGUGAUGAGCCAGAUCUGCGGGAAGCGGAUUUGGGGUCGUCACAGCAACGCCUAGGGCACAUUCACUUGUUGAGCAAAAGCAUCGUUUACUUGAAAAAUAAAUGGCAAUUUCAUUAAGGCCAUAAAGUGACUAUGUAUUCUUGGCGUGGGUUCAAAACUGUGCUUUUUAGGCGAGGCAUAGCACGCCUAGGAGACAACUAUUUCUUCGAUCUGUGGCAAGUUACACUCAUCCACGCCCAGGAGACACCCUGAGCAAACAUGUCUCCUUGGCGUGCCCACGCACGCCAAGAAAGCAUCAAUUUGACGGGCCAAAGCAGGCAUCAACUACACACGCCCAGGAGACACGUCUCCUAGGCGUCGCGUAUAUCAUGCCUCCUUGGCGUUGCUAAGCACGCCAAGGAAGCAACAUAGCACUCAGCUACGGGUGGCUAACUCAUCCACGCCAAGGAGACAUGCCUCCUUGGCGUGGUAGGGGACAUGCCGCCUUUGCGUGGCAAGACACGCCAAGGAAGCACCACACGAACCAGCCUUGGCUGGCUUAAAGCAACCACGCCCAGGAGACAUGUCUCCUAGGCGUGGCAGUAAAUAUGUCUCAUUGGCGAGGCAAAGCACGCCCAGGAGACACAUUCCAUUCAAGGGCUGAUUGAUCAGAUUAAAGAAUUAUUUAAUUCUUUGAUUAAAUUCUGAGAAUUCCUGAAAAAUCAGGAAAAAUAGUAAAAUUGGGAUUUUAAUUUCAAAAAUAUUUUGAAAAUUCUUUAAAGGCUCAAAAAAUUCUAGAAAAUUGGAAUUUAAUCGCAGAAAUUCCAAUUUAAUUGAAUUAAGCCUUGAAAAAAAAUACGGAAAUGCUCGAGAGCACCAUUACAAGCAUACAUCUGAAAAGGAUACUUGUUGUACAAAUAAAAAGGACCCGUAAUGAUGCAGACACUACUCAUAAGGUCAUAAAAAGGACUCGUAUCUCCUGAUUUUCCAAUAAAAAAUGAAAUGCAAUCCCGAAGGAUACGAAACAGAGCUAUCUUUACUAUACAGUCAAUUCAAAUCAUCUCUCGAAUUAUCCCAAAGUAGUCAAGAUCGGUGAGAUCCUUGCGCUAUUUAUGGAACUUCAGACCUUGGGUGAUAAGAAUUGGCAGAAGUUAGCUUUCUCGCGUAAUGAAGGAAGCUCGGAAAGCCGAUAAGGUCUCAGCAACUUUUGAAAAGUUUCUACGAAACUUGUCGAAAGUUGGGGGGCAAAUGAUAUGGGUCAGAAAUAAUAUUUAAUUAUUAUUGGAUAUUAAAAGCCCAAGAAUACUAAAGCCCAGUUAAAUAGGGCCUGAGACUCUUAGAUAUUAAUUUCGUAAUUAAUAGAGGCCCAACUGUAGGUCCGGUUACAAAUACAAGUUCUAUAAUACACCUGAUUCUAACAGAUAAACGUCUCGGAGUUCAGAUAAAUAUCAGCAACGAGAGGAUAAGAGUUCUAUCUUAUCUCUUGCCUCGAGGCACACUUCGAUAAGAAGUCUGAUACACGGAAUCGUACUUCCAUUCGACUUCUGACUCCGAAGCGCCUAUAUAAAGGGCUCUACCCCUCAUAACUAGAACUACGUUUUGGACUUGAUUCUUCUCCACGCAGAAGAUACGUAGGCAUCUCGCACCGAGACCAGUCCAAAGCACGAAUCGCUCACCCCCGUUUUUAGUUCCACAACAAUAUGAGAUAUGAGUUAUGAAAGGCAACGUAUGUAAGAGUCAAAAUACUCGAGUUAUGUUAUUGGCGAUCAGUACGUUGUAGAUGUUUAAGAUGAUAUAUACGAAUGUCGAUUGAAAAAAAAUAAAAUCACGCAACAGAAAUUAUAACGACGCGGACUAUAUAUAUCUUUGUAUAUAGAAACAUAAAUAAUAAUAAACUUAACCUGAUUAUGCAGAUUAUAAAGUUUUCAUCUAUUCCUUAAUUAUAAAAUUAAGGUGAACAUACUGAUGAUAGAGUUUCUCCGUCCCUAAUAAAAAUUGAUAAAUAGGUUAAGAAAUAAUUAACCUUAAUAGAAUACAUAUGUAGAUAUAAUUCAGUUACAUUACAAAAAUUAUAUAUGCUAUGGUUAUCGUCUAUAUAGAAAAUUGAUAAUAAGAAGAUAUACGUGAUAAAUAUCUAUAAUGGAAUAGAUUCUAUAUUGAUUUUAUAUAAUAUUUUUAAAAUAUUUAUAAAAGACAUGAAAAUAGUAACGACUAUAUAAUUAAAAUAUCUUGGGGUCGCCUAACGGCGACCCCUCGUAUCUUAAAAAAAUAACAAAAAAUUAUAAUUAAUUGUAUGUAAAAAAAUUUAUUGUUAAGUUAUUUAAAUGAAAAUAUGCUCAUAGCAUUUUGGUCGUGCUACGCACGUGAGUAUGAUUUUUUUGUUUUUUUUUAUCUAGGUAAGCUAUACAUUUUUUAUUAACAAAUAAUACGAUAUGAGAUAUAAGUUAUGAAAGACAACGUUUGUAAGAGUCAAAAUAAUGGUGUUAUGUUUUAGGCGAUCAGUACGCUGUAAAUGUUAACGAUAAUAUAUAUGAUUCAAUUGAAAAAAAUAAAAUCACGCAACAGAAAUUAUAACGACGCGGACUAUAUAAAUCUUGGUAUUUAGAAACAUAAAUAAUUAUAAACUUAAACUGAUUAUACUGAUUAUAAAGUUUCCAUGCAUUCCUUAAUUCUAAAAUUAAGGUGAACAUGCGAUGAUAGAGUUUCUCCGUCCCUAAUAAAAAUUUAUAAAUAGGUUAAGAAAUAAUUAACCUUAAAAGAAUAUAUAUGUAGAUAGAAUUCAGUUACAUUACUUAAAUUAUAUAUAUGCUACAAUUAUUGCAUGUAUUGAAAAUUGAUGAUAAGAAGUUAUAGGUGAUAAAUAUCUAUCAUGAAAUAGAUUCUUUAUUUAUUUUAUAUAAUUUUCCUAAAAUAUUUAUUAAGACAUGAAAAUAAUAAUGACUAUAUAAUUAAAAUUUCUCGUGUUCGCCUAACGGCGACCCCUCGUAUCUUAAAUAAAAUAACAAAAAGUUACAAUUAAUUGCCUGUAAAAAAUUUUAUUGUUAAGUUAUUUAAAUGAAAAUAUGCUCAUAACAAUUUGGCCCGUGCUACGCACAUGUGUAUGAUUUUUUGUUUUUUUAUAUUUAGUUACAAUAUACAUUUUUUAUUAACAAACAGUAUAAUAUGAGAUAUGAGUUAUGGAAGGUAACGUAUGUAAGAGUCAAAAUACUCGAGUUAUAUUAUUGGCGAUCAGUACGCUGUAAAUGUUAAAUUUAAUAUAUAUGAUUCGAUUGAAAAAAAAUAAAAUCACGCAACAGAAAUUAUAAUGACGCGGACUAUAUAAAUCUUUAUAUUUAAAAACAUAAAUAAUUAUAAACUUAACCUGAUUAUGAAAAUUAUAAAACUUCCAUUCAUUCCUUAAUUAUAAAAUUAAGGUGAACAUGCUGAUGAUAGAGAUUUUCCGUCCCUAAUAAAAAUUGAUAAAUAGGUUAAGAAAUAAUUAAAAUUAAAGGAAUAUAUAUGUAGAUAGAAUUCAGUUACAUUACUAAAAUUAUAUAUAUGCUACAAUUAUUGCAUGUAUUGAAAAUUGAUAAUAAGAAGAUAUAGGUGAUAAAUAUCUAUAAUGAAAUAGAUUUUGUAUUAAUUUUAUAUAAUUUUUCUAAAUAUAUUUAUAUAAGACAUGAAAAUAGUAAUGACUAUAUAAUUAAAAUAUCUCGGGAAAAAAAAUAACAAAAAAUAUAAUCAAUUGUAUGUAAAAAAUUUAUUGUUAUGUUAUUUAAAUGAAAAUAUGCUCAUAGCAUUUUGGCCCGUGCUACGCAGAUGGGUAUGAUUUUUUAUUUUUUUAUCUAGUUAAGCUAUACAUUUUUUAUUAACAAACAAUAUGAUAUGAGAUAUAAGUUAUGAAAAGCAAUGUAUGUAAGAGUCAAAAUAAUCGUGUUAUGUUUUUCGCGAUCAGUACGCUGUAAAUGUUAAAGAUAAUAUAUAUGAUUCGAUUGAAAAAAAUAAAAUCACGCAACAGAAAUUAUAACGAUGCGGAAUAUAUAAAUCUUUGUAUUUGGAAACACAAAUAAUUAUAAACUUAACCUGAUUAUGCAGAUUAUAAAGCUUCCAUCCAUUCCUUAAUUAUAAAAUUAAGGUGAACAUGCCGAUGAUAGGUUUUCUCCGUCCCAAAUAAAAGUUGAUAAAUAGGUUAAGAAAUAAUUAACCUUAAAGGAAUAUAUAUGUAGAUAUUAUUUAGUUACAUUACUAAAAUUAUAAUAUGCUACAAUUAUUGCCUUUAUUGAAAAUUGAUAAUAAGAAGAUAUAUGUGAUAAAUAUCUAAAAUAGAAUAGAUUCUUUAUUGAUUUUAUAUAAUUUUUCUAAUAUAUUUAUUAAGACAUGAAAAUAGUAAUGACUAUAUAAUUAGCUGUCAGAUAUAAAAGAUUAAAAUUGAAUAAUCAAACCAAUUACCAACAAAAUGUACCAAACCAAUUACCAAUAAAAUGUACCAAACCAAUUACCAACAAAAUGUACCAAACCAAUUACCAACAAAAUGUGAAAUAGAUUCCGUAUUGAUUUUAUAUAAUUUUUCUAAAAUAUUUAUUAAGACAUGAAAAUAGUAAUGACUAUAUAAUUAAAAUUUCUCGGGGUCGUCUAACGACGACCCCUCGUAUCUUAAAUAAAAUAACAAAAAUAUUAUAAUUUACUGUAUGUAAAAUUUUUUAUUGUUAAGUUAUUUAAAUUUCUAAUAUGCCCAUUUAUCAGAUUUUUGUUUAAAUAAAUAUAUACUCAUAGAAUUUAUAUAGCAAUCUCUGCCUAACUUCAACUUGCAACACAACUUAGCUAUUUCUGAAUAACCAUUUCAAUCACUUCUCUAUCAAUGCCUCGAUCAACGUCUCGUUCAAUUCUAUAUGAUAGCAAAAUAGUAUUUCAGUCGUCCGAUCAGACGGAUUAACUAAGCUCGAAAAGCAUUAAGAGCUAUUAUAUAUUUACUCUUCACAUAUACAUACCACAUAUUCUAAUAAACACAUAGCACAUAGUUGAACAAUUAACUUUUAUAGCUAUUAAAAGUCAAUAUUGAUAAGUUAACAUAUAACAUGUUUUAAUCAGCCAUGUCGUCUUAUUUUUAACUAUUUAAUAUCCUUUAACAAGUAAAACACAUAUAAUUUUUAAUGAAAAUUCGGCAGCACCUCCUCUAUUUAUCGGACUAUUCACCUUUUUCCCUAUACUAUUCAACAAAUAACCAACUCAAUAAACCAAUAAACUACCAUAUUAUAUCUUAUACGAUUACCAUAUAAUCAUUUAAUAGUCAUGUCAGAAAUUUGACAGCACUCCCUCUAUUUAUAUAACAAUUGACCUAUUUUAAACUAAUACCAACAAUCCACAAGAAAACUAAUACCAAUUUAUAUCAGAUGCAAUCACACUCAAGUAGUCAUACUACUUAUUACGUUCAAAAAUAGACUCCAUUUAAAUUUUCUAAUUUAUAUUAACACAUAUGCAGUGGCGGAGCUAGGAUAAAAAUCCAAGGUGGGCCAAAUUAACUACAAGUAUGAUAUUUGUUUAUUUUUAUCAGAUAUAUAAAAACUUCCUAAUUAGAAGUUAUAAUUGUUGAGUGAAAAAAUACUUUAUUAAUCGAAAACCAUAACUGAAAGUUUUAAUUUGAAAGUUGAAUGUGUUGAAAUGGAAACUGCACAAAUUAUAUGAAAAAACAUUGUAGUAAUAUAUGCUAAAAUUAGUGAAAAUUAAAUUAAGUUUGAUUACGUUUUCUUAUUUGCAUAUGAAUUAUAGCUUGUUAGAUCCGUAUAUUUUAAAAUUUAAAAAAUCUAAUAUAUAAAAAUUUCAUCAUCAAGAACUAAAAUUGUGGAGUUAAAAAGUAUUCCAUUGAUAUGAAAUAAUAUAAAAAAAGUCUAGUUUUGAAAAUUGAAUGUGGUGAAUAUGGAAACCAGUACAUAUAUUAGAAAAAAGGAUUGUAAUAAUAAAUGUCAAAAUCAGCAAAAUUCAAAUAAACAUCGGCUACCUUUCUUUAUUUAUAUAUGAGUUAUAGCAGGCUAGACUCAUUUAUCUGAAAAUUUAAAAAGUCAAAUAUAAAAAAACUUACUUAUCAAGAGCUAAAAUUGUGGAGUUAAAAGAUACUCUAUUAAUAAUGCAAUUAUAACAAAAAAUCUUGAUUUUAAAAUUGAAUAUAAUGAACAUGGAAACCGCAUAAAUUAAACGAAAAAGUAUUGUAAUAAUAAAUGUCAUAAUGGAAAUCAAAUGAAGUUUGACUUCUCUCGCAUAUAAGCUUAUAGCAGUCCAGAUCCAUGUAUCGAAAGUUUGAAAAUUCUUGUAUAUGAAAACUUCCUUAUCAAGAGCUGAAAUUAUGAAGUGAGAAAAUACUCCAUUAAUUUGAAAUUAUAACAAAAAAUCUUGAUUUGCUUAUUGAAAAGCAACUAUAUUUUAUACAAAAAUAAUAAUAAAUGCCAAAAUCCUUGAAAAUGCACUAAAUUUUGACUAUGUUUCCUUAUUUACAUAUAAGUUAUACCAGACUAGAUUCAUGUAUCUGAAAAUUUAAAAAGUCUAAUAUAUAGAAACUUCCUUAUCUGGAGUUAAAAUUGUGGAGUGAAAAAAAUACUCCGUUAAUCGGAAAUUACAACAAAAAGUCGAUUUGAAAAUUGAAUAUAGUGAAAACAGAAACCGCACAAAUUAUACGAAAAAAUAUUGUAGUAAUAAAUGCUAAAAUAAGUGGAAAUCAAAUUAUAUUUGACUAUGUUACCUUACUUGCUAUGAGUUAUAGCAAUCUAUACGCAUGUAUCAGAAAAUAUAAAAAAACUAAUAUAUACAAAUUUAUUAUCAAGAGCUAGAAUUGUGGUGUUAAAAAGUGUUCCAUUGAUUAAGAAUUAUAACUAAAAAUCUUGAUUUGGAAAUUCAAUGUAUUGAAUAUGAAACCAGUAUAUAUUAUACAAAAAAAGAGUGUAAUAAUAACGGCCAAAAUCAGUUGGUGUUAAAAAGUGUUCCAUUGAUUAGGAAUUAUAAUUAAAAGUCUUGAUUUGGAAUUGAAUGUAUUUAAUAUGGAAACCAGUAUAUAUUAUACAAAAAAGAAGUGUAUUAAUAUCGGCCAAAAUCAGUUAAAUCAAAUAAACUUUGACUAUUUUUCCUUAUAUAAAUAUGCGUUAUAGUAGGCUACACCCAUGCAUCCAAACAUUAAAAAAUUCGAAUAUAUAAAAACUUCCAUAUCAAGAGCUAAAAUUAUGGAAUGAAAGAAAUACUCUAUUAAUUUGAUUUACGACCAAAAGUCUUGAUUUGAAAAUUGAAGAUAAUGAACUUGGAAACUGAAAAAAUUAAAUGAAAAAGCUUUUUAGUAAUUAAUGUCAAAAUCAGUGGAAAUCAAAUAAAGCUUGACUUCCCUAUUUGCAUAUGAGCUAUAAUAGUCUAGAUCCAUGUAUCCGAAUAUUUAAAAAUCUAAUAUAUAAAAACUUCGUUAUUAAGAGCUAAAAUUGUGGAGUGAAAAAAGACUCCAUUAAUUUGAAAUUAUAACAAAAAGUCUAGAUUUGAAAAUUGAAUAUAGUGAAUAUGGAAACCACUACAUAUUAUACAAAAAAGGAUUGGUAAUAAUAAAUGCCAAAAUCAUUGAAAAUCAAAUAUAUUUUGACUAUUUUUCCCUAUUUACAUAUGAGUUGUAGCAUGCUAGAUUCAUGUAUCUAGACGGAAAUUGCGUCAUAUUCAUUCUCGGUAUAUCUUGUCAAAAAACAAUGUCACACGAUAAGAAGUUAAGAAAAACUCUAGAUCAAUAAAGAAGAUGUUGAGGAAAAGUGAAUACAAAUUUUCACACGAUGAGUAUCCGAUGGUGGCCUGGACGAAUCAUGUAAGGAAAACUCAAUAUCAAAAAGAGGCUCAAUAAAUACAGUGGAGGACAUAUAUGCAUCAUCAUAAUCACUAUCAAUACGAAAGGAAAUUAUGUAAAAAAAUUUAAAAAAUUAAUUACAAAUUAUCAUGUCAUCUAUACAAUAUAAAAAAACUCAAAAACUGGAACAAAAAUACAAAAAAAAGAACAUACACCAAUGCUAAGCUACAAUUCCAUAUGUGUAGGUCGUAUACUUUCAUAAAAGCCUCUCCGUCUUUCCAAACUUUCAGCCAGCGGCUGCCUUAAUCCAAUAUCAGGUGAAUCAAAUGAGCGCCCCACAUGAGAACACUUAUUAAAUAACAGACACAAACUUAUUACAAAUUGUUGUAUAUCACAAAAAUGAUUCUGCAUGAAGUUAACAACGAUACAAUCAUUUCCAAGGCUUUUCAGAAAUCAAGAUCAAGAGUACCGUAUCUUGAAAAUAAAUACUUAAGGAAACUUUACUCUAGUGUGGAAAUCAAUUAUGAACUCAUUUUGUGAUACUUGAACCGAUUUCACUCUAAGAUCUUCAUUCAUUUCUUUUAACAUUAAUCUGAAACACAAAUAGAUAUUGAAGAGAUUAACAUGUUGGGAAUAAAAAAUAUAUUGUAUGAAUCAAACAACACAAAGAACAGACAAUUUAGUUUAGGCAUUCGAACAAACACUUUAUUAUCUAUGAAUUAUACAAAUAAUAAUAAAUCAGAAAUCAUACAUGACAAACUAUAACAAAAUCAAAAUAAAUUGAAAUCAGAAGAAUUAAAAAACAAAACACUAAGAUUAAUUUUUGCACAACACAAAUCCCAACACGAAGAGUUAAACAUGAUGUUCAAAAAAUAUCUCAAGUUCUAUAUCACAUCAGAAAUCUUUCAUUUGCACUAAAGUGUUCGAACCUUUUCUCAAAUUCCCGGAACAUGAAAUCAAUAGAAAUCGCGAGGACAGAUCUCUCAACUUUUCUCUGUAGCAAAUUAUCAAACAUGUUAAAUACAAAAUCAUGUACUGAUUAUGAUACCUGCAGCGUUCAAACAACAAACUUCAAAACCCGUUCAAAAUAAUAAAAUGAACGAAUAUACACAAUGGAGCAUAUAUUGUAAAGUAAGAUGGAAAUAGUGCAGACUUAUUUCACGGCCAAUGGUGUUAUUCUCUUUUUGACUUCGAGACAUCAUCCUUUGUCGAAGCAUCGUCACAAGAGGACUUUGACGGAUACUACCUGAUGCAUACACGGAUCAACGCGAUUUGUGCAAGAUAAGUAGAAUUUGAUUAUACAAUAUAGUAAAUAAGCGCAAAGCAAAGUCCGUAAAUAGAGAAAUUAAUGUGUAAAGAAAGCCAAGAUCAGUAGUCUUGCAGCAAAAUCCGACCGAGGACACAAAUCAGUUCGAAAGCCAAGCAAGAAAACAUACCCGUUGCGAUUAGAGGCGUGGAAGAAAGAAUGAUUUCGAAUGUGAAAUUUAACUUAUCUGCUUUGAUCUAAUAAGAAUAUCAUAUGCAAAUAAGUAGUUAAGCUUAAAUCUGAACUGACGUCGUGAUUAGUGGCACGAUUCAAGGAUGCGUGAUUAAUGCUAUUUUGAAAUUCUUAUCUUAAUAUGAUGAUCCUGAUAUGAUUUGAAUGAGCUCGUAAUGAGUAGCUUGAUCGAAGGGACUGCAUUCAAUACUGCGCUACUGAUAUGGUAAGAACAUACUGCAUAUCCAGUAUUAUCCGGGUCAGGUCACAUAAAGAUCCGGAAUAUCUUUUCAUAGUGUUAAUUUGAAUGAGGAAGAUGCUGGGUCGAUCCAGAGCUUAAUGGGUUGAUCCAAGAGCAUGUGAAAUUACCAUAUCAGCCUUAAAAAAUGACUCAUGCUUUAAGAAUUAUAUAGAUUUAUAAUGAAUUCCAAAUUAAAUACAUUUAAUUUCCAAAUCAAGACUUUUGUUAUAAUUCCUAAUCAGUAAAACACUCUUUAACACAACAAUUUUGGCUCUUGAUAGUGAAGUUUUUAUAUAUUAAAUUUUUUAAAUUUUUCGAUACAUGGGCAUAUGCUAUAACUCAUAGCAAGUAAGGAAAUGUAGUGACAUAUAUUUUGAUUUCCACUUAUUUUAGCAUUUAUUACUACAAUAUUUUUUCUUAUAAUUUGUGCGGUUUCUAUUUUAACUAUAUUCAAUUUUAAAUCAAUUUUUUGUUAUAAUUUCAGAUUAAUGAAGUAUUUUUCACUCCACAAUUAGAACUCUUGAUAAGAAAGUUUCUAUAUAUUAGACUUUUAAAUUUUCAGAUACAUGAAUCUAGCUUGCUAUAACUUAUAUGAAAAUAAGGAAACAUAGUCAAAGUUUAUUUGAUUUUCAAUGAUUUUGGCAUUUAUUAUUAGAAUCCAUAUUUAUAUAAAAUGUAUUGUCUUCCGUAUACACUAUAUUCGAUAAGCAAAUCAAUAGUUUUGUUAUAAUUUCAAAUUAAUGGAGUCCUUUAUCACUCCAUAAUUUCAGCUUUUAAGAAGGAAGUUUUCAUAUACAAAAUUUUUCAAAAAAUCAUACCCGUGUGCGUUGCACGGGCCAAAAUGCAAUGAGCAUAUUAAUAUUUAAAUAAAAAUUUGAAAAAUGAGCAUAUUCUAAAUUAAAUAACUUAACAAUAAAAUUAUUUACAUACAGGUUAUUAUAAAUUUUUGAUAUUUUAUUUAAGAUACGCGGCGAGCAGAGAAAUUUUAAUUAUAUAGUCAUUACUAUUUCCAUGACUUUUAUAUGUAUUUUAGAAAAAAUUACAUAAUAUAUUUUAUUAGAGUAGUCAUAAUAUAAUUGAUUUUCAUUGAUUUUUGCAUUUAUUAUUACAAUCCUUUUUUGUAUUAUAUGCAGUGGUUUCCAUAUUCACUAUAUUCAAUUUUCAAAUCUAGAUUUUUUGUUAUAAUUUCAAAUUAAAGAAGUCUUUUUUCACUCCACGAUUUUGACUCUUCACAAGGAAGUUUUUAUAUAUUAGAUUUUUAUAUAUUCAGAUACAUGAUCUAGACUAUUAUAGCUCAUAUGUAAAUAAGGAAGUCAAACUUUAUUUGAUUUCCACUGAUUUUGACAUUAAUUACUAAAAGGCUUUUUCAUUUAAUUUUUGUCAUUUCCAUGUUCAUUAUAUUCAAUUUUCAAAUCAAGACUUUUUGUCAUAAUUUCUAAUUAAUAGAGUAUUUUUUUUUACUCCAUAAUCUUAGCUAUUGAUAAGAAAGUUUUUAUAUAUUCGAUUUUUUGAAUUUUUUGGAUGCAUGGGACCCAUAUGUAAAUAAGGAAAAAUAGUCAAAAUUUAUUUGAUUUAACUGAUUUUGACCGUUAUUAUUAUAAUCCUUUAUUGUAUAAUAUAUACUGAAUUCCAAAUUAAAUACAUUUAAUUCCAAAUCAAGAUUUUUGUUAUAAUUCCUAAUAAGUGGAACACUUUUUAACACAACAAUUUUAGCUCUUGAUAGUGAAGUUUUUAUAUAUUAAAUUUUUUAUAUUUUUCGAUACGUGGGCAUAUGCUAUAACUCACAGCAAGUAAGGAAAUGUAGUCAAAUAUAUUUUGAUUUCCACUUAUUUUAACAUUUAUUACUACAAUAUUUUUUCUUAUAAUUUGUGUGGUUUCUAUUUUAACUAUAUUCAAUUUUAAAUCGACUUUUUGUUAUAAUUUCCGAUUAAUGGAGUAUUUUUCACUCCACAAUUUGAACUCUUGAUAAGGAAGUUUCUAUAUAUUAGAUUUUUAAAUUUUCAAAUACAUGAAUCUAGCUUGCUAUAACUUAUAUGAAAACUAGCUUUAUAGUCCGUGCGAGGCACGGGCAAACUUUAAAUUGACAUUCCGUAAAUUUCAUAUACGAGUGAAAAAAAUGCAAUAUCUGAUUUGUUAUGUGUGUGAAACUUUUUAAUUAGAGAUAUCCUGAAAGAGAUGCAAGUCCUACUUAGAUAUGUAGCUUUGAAAUGUAAGCAAACUUGUAAAUACUAAAAGAUGACUUCCAGGGUUUGCCGUUUUGAGAGUCGACUCCAAGUUCUAGCCCCCACUUCUCCGCUGUUCAUCUUUCAUCCCCUCUACUGAUUAAUCAUCUUCGCUCUUCCAUCUUCUCUUAUAUUUAUUAGUUUUAUCAAUAAAACCAAGAUCUCAUCCUUUUGGGUGAGUUCUUGUUGAGUACCUUGUUAUCAAGGUCGUGCCCAUUUUUUUGGGAUGUUUGUGUCUAUUUUGAUGUCUCUGUGUGUUUUGUUAUGGGUCUCGGUAACGUCUCUAAGAAGGAGUUGCAUGAUAUUUUGGGUAAUCCGUAAGGCUUGUAUCAGAUAUGGCACGGUGGUGAAUAUCGUAAGAGCUUACCUUUCACGACAUAAAAUUGUUCAUCUUUUGGGUUCGUUUGUUGAUCCAAUAUCAGUUGAUGUAACUGAUAAUUCUGAACAUUGGGCUACAGAUGCUGCUGCUUAUGUGAAGGUCAAUUGCGAUGCUACUAUGUUCACAACUGAUGAAGGUUGGAUUGUUCGAGAUUUGAUUGUAAUACUUUUUAGUUUGAAGAAUUUAAAUAUUUUAUUUGUUAAGCGAUCUGAAAACAAAGCGGCUAUAUGUUUAGCUCGUUUUUUGUUUCUUAAUCAGGUUGUAAUUGACAGUUCAAGGGUUUGUCUCGGCUGAGUUUCAGUUAUUUAUUAAAUUCUUAGCUUUUCGUCAAAAAAAAAAAAGAUGACUUCCAAUUAUAAACAUUAGGUAUCCAUAUUAAACAUCAACAACCUUUGUACUUGGGCAGUAAUACAAUUUGAUUCAAAGAUUUUAUGAUGCCAAUAUAGUUUUGCAAUCCCUAUUAAGCAUCUCACAAUUAUCCAUCUCAAAUGAAAUUGUCGAAAGAAAUUUUGACAUGUACGACUGUACGUGGUUACAAUGUUGGCUCUGGAAUUGGCGCAUCAACAUGGGCUUUAAGCAGCUUCACUACUAUAACAAUGUCAUCAAUAUAAAAGCAGGCUUUGCUUGGCUUUCUCCCAACAUUAUAGGUAAAGACCUCUGAGUAGGAAUGGAUGUCGAUAGAAUUGUGCUUAAGAUGCUCCAAACAUAUCUUCAUCUGAUUUGUCAUUUUCGAUACACGUGACAAAAUUUGGAGGUUUUCCACCACCGAACAUAGCUGACGGAAACUUCUCAACAACCAACCAUUUGUUUAUACCCUGCAUAUUUGUAAAUUACAGUAGUGGAGUUGUGCCCUGUGAUGUGAUGCGAUUUGAGAAUAUAGGCUUUCUCAUAUAAACACACGCAUUUUCAACCUUCAUAUAAACAGUUUAUCCCAUGCUAUAACUUUUAUUUCUAUUUUUUGGUAUUUUUUUAAUAAUUUUAUUUGUUGGGCACUUCUUUUCUAAAGAGACACACAUAUACGUAGUUUAUGUAUUACAUAUACUUUAUGCAUAUAUAUAUAUAAUAAGAUAGAGAGAGUGACUUUAUACAUGUGACUUAACCUCGAAGAUAUAUUGGCCUCUUUUAACAACUACGAUGCUCAUUUCCAAAAAAUCUUUCCCAAAUGACAAUUCUUUUGCAUGGCAGGAUCCAUCCUGAUGACGUCAUAUCAAAGCACUCUUUCUACGCAAGAGCCAUCUGUAGAUUUUGUGUACAGUUUGCUGAUAGGUUCUAAAAUUUCUUUCCACUUAAGGUCUAUUGUUAUGGGGUUGCACUCCCAGUCAGAAAUCAUGUUCGGCUUGCUUCAUAUACAUAUGUGUGUGUGUGAGAGAGAGAGAGAGAGAUUAAAAAUAUCCUCAUGAAACUCUAACACAUAAAAAACUCAAGUGUAAGGUUGUCCAAACAACCCCUCAAGUAAUAUAAAAAAGUGAGAAAUAUUGUCUACACGAAUAAUUUACAAGUAGUAUAUGAUUAAAUCUAAUGAAUAUUUGGAUUAUAAAUAUAAUAAAUAAUUGUUUUAUCCUAAGCUUGAUCCAUUAGAAAAAGAUGCAACCUUAAUGGAGAUAUGGCAAAAUCCAAUCAUGUUAAUAUUCAGAAUCAAUUAACUCAAAAACAUUUUCUUAAAGUUAUACAUUAAUAAUAUAUUUUUAAAAUGACAAAGCUAAUAUAACUUACUAAUAGUAUCAAUCCCAAAUAAACAAAUUAUGUAGUUGGGCUUUUUUUUCUUAUAAGCAUGUACUUGGGUUUAAGGUACGAUAAACAAAUAUUUACAGAACAUGUUGAUUAUAUCAUACAUUCAUACUACAACUUUACAACAGUCAUAGUCACAUGAAGAUAUAGUUUCUACUAACCAGCAGUAAUUGAUUUAUUUCCAGAAUCCGUGAUCCCCAAAUAUGUUGAGACAAAACCUUGCAUUUGUUGUUGACUUAACUGUUGAAAAUAAAACAUAGUAGUAUAAAGUAUAGUAAUAUUACUGGAUAUCCGUUUGAUAUUUAAAUUUCUUUAUGCACAACUGUACAGGAACAUGUUUUAUUUAGAUACAUGUGCUGUGUACUAUUUGGCUACUGAAAUAUUACCGGUUUUCACGUUUUUGCAAUGAUUUCUUCUUUGUCUUCGCUUCAUGUUUCUGGUUUUGCCUCUUGUGAUCUGAAAGUUUUUGGUAUAUGCAGGCCAUCUAGACCGUCGCUUGUUGGUUUUUCUCAUUCUUGUCAGGCUACUAAACCGUCAACCACCAGUUUUGAUAAAUUUGGAAUAAGGAAAUGGGGUUUGCUAAUCAGACCUGCUGUAAAACAAUACAAGUGACAACCAUUACUCUUAAAAUAUAAUUGCAUUGGCAUGCUGUUUGAAAGGGCAUGUUUAGAGGGUGUGCAGCAGAAAUGUAAUCAGAAUAUAUACCAGGAAUAGAAAGACUAAAGAUUCCCUUCUUUUCAAAUGUUUUUCUUUCAUUUUAUUUCAAUUGUUACAAUUAUUUUUAUUUAUUUUUUUGGAUUAUAAUGGUAGUUCAAUCUAGUCUACUCAGUACAUAAAACUUUGCCUUAGCAUUAACAUUUUCCAGGAGUUUCAGUUUCAAAAUAUAGAAAAUAUAAUCAAAGCAUUUAUAUGCAAAAUAUAAGUAUAUAUGUAUAGAAGACUAUGACUGGAGUCUGGACACCAAGUCAAGUCCUGUUGAAUAGCUCAUAUGUUCUUUUUGCAAAAAAAUGGAUCGUUGAAUUAAGAUCAAAUAGUCUAGGAAAUUACCUUGUAGAUCUAAUGUAUUUGAAAGCUUUAUCACCAUCGUCGACACCAAGGAAAGUUGCAGGAAGAGGGAAAAGUUUGGUGUUAUCUCUAUUUUCUGCAUCUCUCAUUAUGGUCCCAGCUACGCCAGACAAAAAGAUCGAUUCCCCGUUGCUUAAUUCAUCACACAGUACAAUUUUACCCUUUACUAACUUUGAAUCCAACGAAUUUUUUCUACAAUGCCUGCAGAUUCACAACCAUAUUUGAGCAUUUUGUAUUGAAAUCAACUUCCUAAAGCUAUUUCUUUAUUCAUAAUAUAGCUUAAUAAUCACCUAGAAUCGAACUUUAAAAAACCAGCCAUAGCAUUUGGCACAUCUCCACCAUAAACCAGAGGGUACUUCCCAUUUUUGCUAGUAAAUGUGUUCACAGACACUCCCUACGGAAAACAACUCAACCUAAUCACUAUGAGCUUUUUAUACAUAUUAGAAAAAGUUAUGUGAAAAUACAAAGCUGAAAAAAAUAGCUGCCCUCAUAAUUUUAGAAGUUUAUUGGAAUGUAGUUUGUUUUUAAGUGUUUCAAGGGUUUAUUUAACUAAGUGGCUAUCUAUUAAACACAGAUGAGUUCUACUUUAUGCCUAUAAGUUUCUGUUUUCGAUGCUUAAGUCAGGUAGCAAGCAAGUCAGGAAGCAUAAGCUCGGACUUGAUGGAACUUGCAAGUUGCAAUACAAGUACUGCUAAAUGAGAUAUUAAAUUGAAUAUGUUCGUAUGUGGUUAUAAUUUUAAGGUGAUGCAGUGGAUUGCAGAGUACAAGUACGAUCCUUCUUAAGUGAUGUUUAUAUCGACUUGAGGACCAGACUGAGAUCCUUCUUUGGUGAGAUUGAAGAUCAGACUGAGAUCCUCCUGACUUCUGAGUAAGAAUCUCUUCCUUAUAGUUCUAAAUUAAGUAAAAGUGAGAAUACUGAUAUCCAGUGAACAUAUAGAUUAUCCAACUACACAUUCUAUGACAUCUUCUAAACUUUUUUUUGGUAAUCAAGAUGUGAAAAAUGGCCAAAUAUAAACCAUUCGAGUGAAAUGUGUAAAUUCCAACACUAUGAAAGGUCAGUACAUAUACCACCCCAUUUGCACAUGUAGGAAGGGCAGGCUUAUCUUUACAGUUAGGUGCUUUCUGAAGGAUAAGAGCUAUUUAAUGAUGUUCCUAAAAUUCAAUAAUUAAAUUUUACGUUUUAGAAAAAAGUUAUCGAGAUUACAAAUAUAUAAACCUAAAGUAAACAUCACCUAGUACAUGAUACGACCAAUAACCGAUUCAAUUGAAACAAACAUACAUUAAAAGUCAGCAAAAUCAGACAAGAGGGGACGGCAAAAAAAAAUACCUCAGGAGUCAAAUUAGCAGAGAAUCCACUGGCAGCAUUUUUAUAGCUAUAAAGUAAAGCCUCUUUUGCAGCAUCCUGACUACAGAUUUAAGAGGCACAGUAAAAAUAACGUUUGUCCUCAAAAAUGUGUCUCAAAUAUUAGUAACUGAAAUAUACGUAACUAAUUUCCCAAGCAUCAUAAAUUAAUGCACAGGUGUCAUCUGUUUCGUAAUUAAAUUUUUGCACACACAAAAGCUUUUACAGACACAAAGUAUGGAUUUAUGGAAGGAGAAACUAAUUAUUCCUAUUUCAUAUUUGUUAAACAACAUGAGCCAUUUGGAGGGAGGCAAAACAAUUUCUUGUAAGCACAGCUGUCUUGCAAAGUUAAUGAAUAGUCUUUCCUAUGACCUAUCUAUGUGUUGAGUUUUUGUAGUUAAAGGUAGUUUCGGUGAAUAAUUGAACGAAUAGUAAGAUACCAGUAGAUUGCUAUAAAAUAUUUCAGAAUUCAAAAGAAUAUUCUCUUCACAUUUUCUAGAGGUCUGUUAUGUAAUUGGUCAGGUUUAGUGUUUCACUGGUUCCACACUUCACUCUAAAAAUGAUGCCUAUGCUGGUACUCAAAAAUUAACUUUAUAUUAACCACUUGUCUCCCCCUAAUCUCUUCUUACUUCCUAGUUCCUCCUAUAUCUUUUUUCUUUCCCUGCACGUUUGGGGUACCCAUUAAUUAAGUCAAAGAACCAAUCAGAACACAUUCUCAAAGCAAAUAUGUAAAAGUCACCAUUAAGGAUAUCCAUCUUACCUUAACAGCAGGAGAUCGAGGAUUUAAACCUCAGUGGUGCACCGUGUGUGUAUCUGAAUUACCGUAAUUGAUCAUAACCAAAAAUAAGAGAUAAUAAAAAAAAACAAAAAGCAAUACUCUACAGGUGAUAUAUUAGCUUAUAUCACACCUAGCGCUGCAGAGCUGCAUAUUAAAAUCAACACCAAGAGAAGAGGUUACAACAAUACAAAGCCUAAAGAGUUUAUAUGAAUUUGGUCAGAUCUUCAUAGAUAUGAAUAAGCAGUUUCUUGCUAAAAACUUAUAUAUUAAACAAUGAAACUUCCCCUGCUGCGUCCGGCAUGUAUAACCAUUUCCAGAAGCUUCCUAAUUAAUGCCUAACUUUAUUUCCUUAACCUAGAGCUUUUUUUCAAAUAUUGUGGAGAUAUUUUAGUGAGAAAGAGAGAAUGAACUCCCUCAUCUCUCCGGCUUGGAGCAUCUGUAAACUUUGUUUUAAGAAUGAAUGUUUGAACAAUAUUGAACGAUCCUUUAAGGUUAUUAGUCUUGAAAUAUACAGAGGGAUUUUUUUCUGGAGCAGCUAGUCCAUCAGCUUCAAGUCUUGUUCUUAGGCUAAUGAGGAAGAACUUGAUGGUGGUCAAUUAAGAUACAGAUGCAUUCCUGCAAUAUAGGCAGAACCUUUCAGAUUUGAUGAAUCCACAGCCACAUUUGUAGUCCAGUAGAGUUGCAAGACUUUCCUCUGAUGGAGUUGAAACUGGGAGAAUGGAGGGAAACUGGGGUAUAUAUCGGGGGCAGCUAAAUCACGUUUUUAACCUCUAAUUUGUAAAACCUAAACACAAGUCACGGCGUUAGGUGCAUUUUAACAGAAGUGGGCAGAGCCACUAAAUUGGCUAAUGAAAAAUAAUUUAGCCAUCAAGCUAGCAUGAAAAUUAUUUUAGGCAUUUCCUUACCAACAGAAAUACCUCAAGUAUGCAAAGUUCAAUUUAGUCGUAAUUAAAUUAAACUCCAUAGAUAAUGAAUUCAAUAUCAUUCAGAAGGUGCUAAUGACAUUAAAAAUUAGAUUUUGAUUAAAUUUGUUGAACAAACUUUACAAACAUAAAACAAAGAGUUAUAGAAAACCACUCACGAGGCCUUCUUCUGGUGGAGAAUAAGUUUCAAAUACGAUCUUGUUGGGACUUAAUCUCCCCAGGUUCUUUCUCUCAAUUUGCCAACCCCUCACAAUGGAGGGUUCUCGUUGUAUUUAUAUCUCAGUUUGCGGGCUUUUCCCUAGACCUUGGGCUUUUCCUGGGAAUUGGGCCUUUUGUCACUGGGCUCCUCUGGGCUUGGCCCAACAUUUGUCCCCCCCGUAGUUGCAGUGGAUCUUCAGAUGCGCUGGUUGAUAAGUGGAUUUUAUAUCCACUUGGAAUGCGUUCGUUUCGACUUAAAUUGAUGGUUUGGCUUCAAGUAUGUGGUGUUUUUGAUGUGUUCUUGUGGUGUUGUGUAGGUUUCCUAGAAGGAGGAUGAAGGGUGGAUUCAAGGCUAAAAGGUGGAAGAAACGACGUAGGGAUCGAGCGAGCAAGGAAGGAGAAAAGAGAAAGGAGGUUCCAAAAGCAUUCGGGGCUGCCCAAAUGGGGUCUCCACCCCAUUUACGGGGUCUCCACCCCGUUCUGAAGAAGAAAAAUCUGCCAAGAUGGGGUCUCCACCCCACUGAUGGGGUCUCCACCCCACUUCAGCAGAAUAGAGGCUGCCAAGACAGGGUCUCCACCCCACUGACGGGGUCUCCACCCCACUGACGGGGUCUCCACCCCAUUGAUGGGGUCUCCACCCCAUUCUGAUGGGAGAAAAAGCCCAAAUUGCCUAUUCUUGAUCCGUUUGAAGGCCCGAUCGCUGUGGGACUUAAAUCAAAGCUCAAGGGAGAAGUCUAAUAACCUAGAAACAUUCUAAGGAGCACGUGACGGCUACGGAGAAGAUCAAGAUCGAAUUUCAUUGUUUUUACUUUUGUGAUUCUUCGAAGGAGGCGUAACUUUGGAUGCUCAUUCGGAUUUGUUUCAAAACUCUUGUUUUACUCUUUUGAUAUUGUUUAGACUAUUCAGCACCAUGUUUACUCUUAUUCCCAUGAUGAUGAGAAGUUCGAUUAUGAACUAAUCAUUAUCGUGGGAUUCUAGCGGAUUUAUAUAUGGAUUUCAUUAGUUGAUUUGCCUUAAUUAUUUGUGUGAUGAAUGUUUGAUUUCUUCGUAUUGGUUGUGCUUAUUCUUCUUGGAUGCGUAGCUAACAUCUAAGUUGUGGGUUAAUCUUUAUUAAGCGACAGUGGAUAUAUUGAUUUAGAACUUACCAUGCGAACAUAGGAUUAUGUAUUCAAUAUACAUGAUUAGUGGUGUGAUUUUACCCAUCUUGCAUCGUCCCUAUGUAAUCUCAUAGAUAACUUGAUAUCAACCGUUAUGUUUCAAAUCUUAUAGACAUAUAGGGUCUAAGCAUAAUUGGUGUCUGUUUACCUUCUAUCUUAACUGUGGAUGUGGAACAGUAUGGUGCGCGUAUAACGACAGUUAGCGUGUAUCAGUCUCGUGUUAUCUGAUUAGUUAUCAACCAUCACAUAUCGAUAAGGCAUAACUCUGAAUGAAGUAUAUAAUGAAGUUAGAAUCCCAUGUUUUUAUUCUCACUAGUAAAUCGUUAUUCUCUUAGUGUAUAAUUCUGAGUUCAUAAUUCGAAUUGAAUUAGUUAAGUUAGAUAACCAAACCCCAAUUUGUUACUUGACUAAGCAUUGAAUAAUAACCAUACAUUGUUGCAUAAGUGCAUAUUACUUGAUACACCAGUCUCUGGUGGGAUCGAACUGAAUUUACAUUCUAUAUUACUUGUGACCACGUACGCUUGCGUGAUUUUGUGCGAACACGACGCAACNNNNNNNNNNNNNNNNNNNNNNNNNNNNNNNNNNNNNNNNNNNNNNNNNNNNNNNNNNNNNNNNNNNNNNNNNNNNNNNNNNNNNNNNNNNNNNNNNNNNNNNNNNNNNNNNNNNNNNNNNNNNNNNNNNNNNNNNNNNNNNNNNNNNNNNNNNNNNNNNNNNNNNNNNNNNNNNNNNNNNNNNNNNNNNNNNNNNNNNNNNNNNNNNNNNNNNNNNNNNNNNNNNNNNNNNNNNNNNNNNNNNNNNNNNNNNNNNNNNNNNNNNNNNNNNNNNNNNNNNNNNNNNNNNNNNNNNNNNNNNNNNNNNNNNNNNNNNNNNNNNNNNNNNNNNNNNNNNNNNNNNNNNNNNNNNNNNNNNNNNNNNNNNNNNNNNNNNNNNNNNNNNNNNNNNNNNNNNNNNNNNNNNNNNNNNNNNNNNNNNNNNNNNNNNNNNNNNNNNNNNNNNNNNNNNNNNNNNNNNNNNNNNNNNNNNNNNNNNNNNNNNNNNNNNNNNNNNNNNNNNNNNNNNNNNNNNNNNNNNNNNNNNNNNNNNNNNNNNNNNNNNNNNNNNNNNNNNNNNNNNNNNNNNNNNNNNNNNNNNNNNNNNNNNNNNNNNNNNNNNNNNNNNNNNNNNNNNNNNNNNNNNNNNNNNNNNNNNNNNNNNNNNNNNNNNNNNNNNNNNNNNNNNNNNNNNNNNNNNNNNNNNNNNNNNNNNNNNNNNNNNNNNNNNNNNNNNNNNNNNNNNNNNNNNNNNNNNNNNNNNNNNNNNNNNNNNNNNNNNNNNNNNNNNNNNNNNNNNNNNNNNNNNNNNNNNNNNNNNNNNNNNNNNNNNNNNNNNNNNNNNNNNNNNNNNNNNNNNNNNNNNNNNNNNNNNNNNNNNNNNNNNNNNNNNNNNNNNNNNNNNNNNNNNNNNNNNNNNNUGUGUGCCUUGGUAGUCUCAGGAGCACAUUCUUCGGAUCAGUGUGCUAUAUCGAGCGAAUCCGCUCAGUUUGUGAGCAACUUUCAGCGGUCUCAACAGCCAGCUCCGGCUACUUAUCAUCCCAAUAAUCGGAAUCAUCCGAAUUUCAGCUGGAGCAAUAAUCAGAACUAUAUGCCACAACAGCAGCAACAGUUUCAGCAGCAAGGAGCUAGACCUUUUAACCCUUCUGGUUUUCAACAACAGUUUGCACCGAGGCAGCAAUUCCAUCCACCCGGAUUCCAGCAACAAAAUCAUGGGGUGGCUGGACAGUCUUCCAAUGAAAGAUCAGAAUUGGAAGAAUUAAGACUAAUGGUAAAAAGCCAAUCGGUGUCAAUCAAGACUUUGGAGAAUCAGAUUGGGCAAAUUGCUAAUGCGUUGAUUAAUAGACCACAAGGAACUCUUCCUAGUGAUACUGAGGCCAAUCCGGGUAAGAAAGAGAUGAAGAAACAGGUACAGGCUGUCACCUUGAGGUCCGGAAAGGUUACGAAGGAAAAAGAAUCAGCAACAAAGCGAAAUAAGGAAGAGAGUGAUCAACAGGUUAAACACUCGUGCUCUCAUCUAAGUCUAAUAGUGGAAAAACUGUUGUUGACGCUGACAAGAAAGAAUUCAACGAGGAAGCAAGCAAGGAAUCAGCCGAGAAGUCUAGUCCUAAAGCUGAUAUUGGGGUCAAGCAAGUAUAUCCAUCCCCCCUUUUUCCGAAGAAACUACGAAAGCAUAAGCUCGACAAGCAAUUCGCUAAAUUUCUAGAGGUUUUCAAGAAAUUACAAAUCAACAUACCUUUUGCGGAAGCUCUAGAACAGAUGCCGAGCUAUGCUAAGUUCAUGAAAGGUAUUCUAUCUCGGAAACUUAAACUUGAGGACUUGGAGACUGUGGCUUUGACCGAGGAGUGUAGUGCUGUGUUGCAGCAGAAAUUGCCUCCGAAGCUGAAAGAUCCGGGAAGUUUCACAAUCCCGUGUACUAUUGGGCAAUUGUCCUUCGACAAGUGUUUAUGUGAUUUGGGAGCUAGCAUCAAUCUAAUGCCCUUGUCUGUCUUCAAGAAACUUGGGCUGCCGGAGCCGAAACCUACGAACAUGUCAUUACAACUGGCUGAUCGGUCCAUCACUUACCCACGAGGUAUAGUGGAGGAUGUCUUGGUUAAGGUGGAUAAGCUCAUCUUCCCUGCUGAUUUUGUCAUUCUAGACUUUGAGGAGGAUAAGAAGAUUCCUAUUAUCUUGGGAAGGCCGUUCUUAGCUACAGGCCAAACUUUGAUCGAUGUGCAAAAAGGAGAGCUUACAAUGAGAGUUCAAGAGCAGAGUGUCACUUUUAAGGUGUUCAACGCAAUGAAAUUCCCAACAGAUGAAGAAGAAUGCUUUAAGGUGGAGCCACUAGAAGCUGUUGAAAAGUCUGAGAUGGAGGAAAAGCCAAGGCUAUGUACCUUAGAGAGCGUCUUAACAGGGGAUUUUGAUUUUGAAGAUGAAGGAGUAGGAGAGCUUAGAAAUUUUCAGGAGCAUCUUAAACCAUCUAUUGAAGAAGCUCCCAUAAUCGAACUCAAACUACCACCGGAUCUCUUAAGUGAUGUGCAGUUUAGAAGGUUGUCACGGCGCAUAGAUGACAUGCAUGACAUUCACCGCCGUUUUGCAAAGGAUUUGACUCAAGCUCUUGGGAGUGCUUUUCGAGCCAUUGGUGUUGAGGUUGAUUGGCCAGUGUUUGGAGAUGGCAUGGUAUAUUCACCACCUGAUCCUCCACCCGAGGAGGGUGAUCCUCCCGACAUCUAGGUACGUGCCUAUCCUUAUUAUCACCUUCAAUGAGGACAUUGAAUAUUUUAAGUUUGGGGGUGGUAAUCUAAGGAUUAGUAGUAGUGUGUGUUCAUAUAGGUUGCAUGUUGCAUAUAGUUUAGCAUAGUAUCUCAUACUGUUUGCAUAUUUGUUAGUUUUUAUUAUAUAUGCUUGUGUUUAGGAUGUGUUAGUAGUUUCAUAUAGUUGUUUUUGCAUGAAUCAUGAUAGUUGUAUUCCAAGUUGAUUUCCUAUGAUGAGUUAUGUGCAUAAUUUCUUGGCUAGUAGUCUUGAUCGCAUGUGAUGCCUCGUUACUUGGAAGCUGCUUGUGUAGAAAUUGUAAUUACACUUAUGCUCUAGAGAUAAGAUUUAGACUAACUUAUUUCUUGAAUCCUUGCAUUGAGUCGGACGUAGAGUUUGGAUUAUUCCCUUUUUGAACUUAGAGUUUGUAAAUCUUAAGUUUGGGGGAGUUAAGGGAUGAAUAUGCCUUUCUAAAAAAAAUGAAAAAAAAAGAAGAAUAAAAAGAAUAAAAAUUAUCAGGUACUCCUUUGAGGUCAAUGGGUAGAAUGCAAUGUCAUGUGAAAGGGACGAUCCAUGUACUUGUGCUGGUAUUAAGUGCAAAUGUAUUAGAAUAAGCAAAUUCUUGGUGACUUUUCACAACCCUUGAUUACUGGAGAAUUACUUGAUUUAAAAAAAAAAAGAGGAAGAAGAAUAAGCGAAGUCGAAUGGCGGUCGUGACUCACUUACACUGAGAAGCGUCCUAACCUUAGACUUAGCAAGAAAAAGAAAAAAAAUAGAAAAAAAUAGGAAGGGCAUAGGAAUUCUUUAGUGACUCUAAAUUGUAGUUGACUCUUUAGUAAAGAAGUGUUUAAGCCUGAUUUUGAUUAACGGCUCAUAGUGAGGACUCUGUUGAAGUUUGAUAGUCUUUGUUUUGUUUCACUAGAGAGCAUGCUAGCACACACGAUGCACUUCACACUUGUAGUGGAAGAGAACAUGGCUAAUAUGUGAAAGAGAUGAAUGCUGAGAAUGUUGCAUAUUCUG
rnacentral:lncRNA from 1 species